rnacentral:rRNA from 1 species
UACUCUUGGACAGCCUUCUGAAAGGAAGAUUAAUACAAGAUGGCAUCAUGAGUCCGCAUGUUCACAUGAUUAAAGGUAUUCCGGUAGACGAUGGGGAUGCGUUCCAUUAGAUAGUAGGCGGGGUAACGGCCCACCUAGUCUUCGAUGGAUAGGGGUUCUGAGAGGAAGGUCCCCCACAUUGGAACUGAGACACGGUCCAAACUCCUACGGGAGGCAGCAGUGAGGAAUAUUGGUCAAUGGGCGAGAGCCUGAACCAGCCAAGUAGCGUGAAGGAUGACUGCCCUAUGGGUUGUAAACUUCUUUUAUAAAGGAAUAAAGUCGGGUAUGCAUACCCGUUUGCAUGUACUUUAUGAAUAAGGAUCGGCUAACUCCGUGCCAGCAGCCGCGGUAAUACGGAGGAUUCGAGCGUUAUCCGGAUUUAUUGGGUUUAAAGGGAGCGUAGAUGGAUGUUUAAGUCAGUUGUGAAAGUUUGCGGCUCAACCGUAAAAUUGCAGUUGAUACUGGAUAUCUUGAGUGCAGUUGAGGCAGGCGGAAUUC